GCGCCGGUGCUGCUGGCGCUCCUCCGGCUGCCUGCUGCGGCCUGAGAAAAAGAAUGUCAGCGUGCGUUUUGCUGGUGGAUAACGCGUAUUUUAGCCUUCGCAGAAAAUGUAGUCAUGCUACUGAUGUUGGUUUUCUGCGGAACAGCCUCAGUCCGGUCGAGGUGCUUUUUUCCCUGCGUGAUUAUUUCCCCACCUGUUGCUCCUGUGUUGUCUAGUCAUAUGGAUCCCGUCCCGUUAAUCAUCUUUUACCUCUCUUUGGAUCCCUAGGUAGAAGUUUAUCUCAAAAUUUCUACCUGUUCACAAGCAAUUAGAAGGAAGUGUUUCAGAGGAGAUGUGACAAGUUUCUGGUCCCCAGUUCUUCAUGUUUUCCCAGUAGCAUCCAGGUAUCCUGCUUAUUUCUCUGCCAUAGUUUAGAGAGUAUGUUACUUCAUAGAUUUGUGUGGAAUAAUUUGUCUUCACCUGGAAGCAAUUCACUGGAAUGCUACAAGACCCACGGUUUCCUUUCACUGCUGGUUUUAGUGUUUGGUACCUGGGGUUUACUUUUUACACUUUUUCAGACCUUCAUUUUCUCCACAAUUAGUUCACAUAUCAUCACAGUACUUUCCUGUUACUGUUGCUCAGUUUGUCUACUCUAUUUUUUUUUAAUAUGUCAGCUCACCCCAGUCUGUGCAUGUUAGCCCCAAACUCCUUUAAUGCUUAAAUCUGGAGGUCUGUUUUAAUUACGGAGUACAAUGACCAAAGAAACAUGUAAUUCACCACACAACCAGCUCCUCAGUAGCCAGCCCUGUGGAACACGUUUGUGUUGCAGCAAGUUUACAGAGAGCAAUUCUGAGUAUCUGCAGCUGUGCUAAGGUGGCCUGGUCAUCAUCACUCACUGCUGACCAGCAGGCCCUGAGGGGAUCCUCAAACCCUGUGUGAGGACCUGUUAUUGCUCCUAGAACCACCACAGCUCUCUUUUCCUCGGUCAGUACCUGCCCCUGCAGCCGAUGCACCGUCAGUGUCUGCCUGUCACCCCGGUCUGGUUCUCUUCUGCUAGACACAGAGAUAGCCAUUGCAGCUGGCCCACAGCCACCAUGCUGCUGUCCGCCCGCUGGCCAACUUACAGCAAGGACUAAAACCCCGACAGGAGAUACAUGUGGAUCAGUUUGACCUUGGCUUUAGAUUUCAUCCCAAAUUCUGACUGCUGCAUAUCAAGCUUGAACCUGUGAUCUCAUCUACUGCAUGUGUCUGCAAAGCAGGACUGACGACUUCCAAGGCUCUCUGAGGUGUAAUUGUGGAAGCACAAAAUGUUUGGGAAUGGAAGUGACCUCUGGACAUCAUCUAUAUCAACCCCCCUGCUAAAUCAGCUUCACCUAGAACAGGUUGCACAGGAUCACAUCCAGGUGGGUUUGAAGUGUCUCCAGAGAAGGAGCUUCUGCAGCCUCUGCCUUGUAAUCUUCUUGCCGGUCUAUGAUUGCAGGGCAGAUAAUGCCUACAAAGGUCAAUAGUUUGUUUAACAAGAGCUAAGAGAAAAGUGCAAUAAAGAAGGAAAGUAAUUUCUAAAUUUUAGCAUGUUUGCUAGAAUAUCACUCUAGCUGAGCUUGGUAAUGUGAAGCAGAAUGUGUUACAGCAAUUGAUGGGGAAGAUUUUUUUGUUUGAUUUGUUAGUGCAGUAAAAGUUGCCCUAUAGUUAGAAAUAAUCAAAUAAAAGACUUUUAUUCCUUCUUGUUUGGCUAUUGUUAUUCAGAGUUCUCUCUCUCCCUUGUCCUUACAUGUUCCAUUACCAUAGUUAUUAUGGGAUCUUUGGUUGCUAAUGGAGUAAUGAAGAAAGAGGCAUCUAAACUUCAAUAUUUAUCACAUAUUGACUUCUUUAUUGCAUUAAUAGCAGGGCAGAAUUACCAGAUGUAUGUGUAAUUAAAGCUUUAAGGCUGCCAUUUUAUUUUAAACUUAUAAAGGUUGUAUUGGAAUGUAAGGAAAUUUUCAAAAGUUCAAGAUAACUUACAUUAAAGACCAACUGUUUAAUUGAGUGUUGUGAAAAAGAAGUAUUGUGAAUAAGGAGAGUGAGGCUACUUUAUUUAACUGUUGGCUCUUCUCCUGUUAAAGUGUCCUCCAGAAAUAAUUUUAAAAUGCAAUUCUGUAUGUAUGAUUGACUAAAAUAGUGAUAAAGCCAACCUAGAUCAUUGCUUGUUAUCUGCUCAGGUGUUUUCUCUUUUGCUAGCAAAUGAUUCACUUGAUGAAGAAACUUUAACCCUGACGUGAAGCAGUAUGCCUGGCUGGUUGUGAUAUUAUGCUUAUACAGAUUCCUGAAAGCUAUUGCUGUCCCUAAUUAAUUCUGUGAUGGUAGCCUGACUUAUUUUACUUAAGUUUUGCACUUCAUUAAUAAAUGUACUGUACAGGAAAAUCA